rnacentral:rRNA from 1 species
GACGAACGCUGGCGGCGUGCCUAAUACAUGCAAGUCGAGCGGACUUUCAAGAAGCUUGCUUUUUGAAAGUUAGCGGCGGACGGGUGAGUAACACGUGGGCAACCUGCCUGCAAGACGGGGAUAACUCCGGGAAACCGGGGCUAAUACCGGAUAAUAUCUUCCUUCGCAUGAAGGAAGGUUGAAAGGCGGCGCAAGCUGCCGCUUGCAGAUGGGCCCGCGGCGCAUUAGCUAGUUGGUGAGGUAACGGCUCACCAAGGCGACGAUGCGUAGCCGACCUGAGAGGGUGGUCGGCCACACUGGGACUGAGACACGGCCCAGACUCCUACGGGAGGCAGCAGUAGGGAAUCUUCCGCAAUGGACGAAAGUCUGACGGAGCAACGCCGCGUGAGCGAAGAAGGUCUUCGGAUCGUAAAGCUCUGUUGUCAGGGAAGAACAAGUACCGUUCGAACAGGGCGGUACCUUGACGGUACCUGACCAGAAAGCCACGGCUAACUACGUG